rnacentral:rRNA from 1 species
UGGGGAAUAUUGGACAAUGGGCGAAAGCCUGAUCCAGCCAUGCCGCGUGUGUGAAGAAGGUCUUCGGAUUGUAAAGCACUUUAAGUUGGGAGGAAGGGCAGUAAGCGAAUACCUUGCUGUUUUGACGUUACCGACAGAAUAAGCACCGGCUAACUCUGUGCCAGCAGCCGCGGUAAUACAGAGGGUGCAAGCGUUAAUCGGAAUUACUGGGCGUAAAGCGCGCGUAGGUGGUUCGUUAAGUUGAAUGUGAAAGCCCCGGGCUCAACCUGGGAACUGCAUCCAAAACGGGCGAGCUAGAGUAGGGCAGAGUGGGGGGGAAUUUCCUGUGGAGCGGUGAAAUGCGUAGAUAUCGGAAGGAACACCAGUGGCGAAGGCGACCACCUGGGCUCAUACUGACACUGAGGUGCGAAAGCGUGGGGAGCAAACAGG